rnacentral:rRNA from 1 species
AUGUUUUUGCGAAAAUUAGCGAAACAGUCGCUGCCUACAAACGAUGUACGAGCGCACCGGCAUAUGGCAGAUUCUAGCCUGUGCGGGUUCUGUGGAGUACAAGACUCAUGGCGACAUUCGUUAUUGGAGUGCACCAUAUCGCGGAGUGUAUGGACGUUGGGAGAUGAGGAAGUGCUGCAUAAAAUCAUGGCGACUACAGAACCUAAUGCAAAGAAUUGGCUGUUCACUUUGAUCGAGAGCCUGUCGCAGGAUAGUUUUGCGUUGCUGGCGGUCAUGGCGUGGUCGAUAUGGCAUGCUCGACGUAAAGCUAUUCAUGAGGCAAUCUUCCAAAGUCCCCAUCAGACACACUCCUUCAUCACAAGUUUCACGGCAGAGCUCGGUGUGAUUAAUGAUUCAAACCGAUGCCCCCGAAAAGGAGCGAUCCAGCCACCGCAACAAAGACAAAACCCUAAGAAACCACCUCCCGGAGCAUACAAAAUACAUGUUGAUGCAGCUGGUCGCGCUAGAAGAGGAGGAGCGGCUGCUGCAGUUUGCAGAGAUGAAGCAGGGAAUUAUAUUGGGUCUUCGGAGUUGGUUCUUGAGGGUGUCACCGGCCCUGCAUCUUUGGAGACGAUAGCAUGCCGGGAGGCAUUGUCCUUGGCGGAGGACCUCAACAUCCACAACUUUGUCAUUGCAUCUGAUUGCAAACAGUCAGAUAUUGGCCACAAUGCGGGAGGAAGAUAUGGAGCAAUUAUCAGUGAGAUUUGCUUUAGAACUGUUAAUGUCCAAUGUAAAUUUACUUUUGAGUGUCGUGCUACGAACUAUGAAGCACACGGUUUAGCUAAAUUUUCCCUUUCUAGAGGUCCCGGUCGCCACGUCUGGUUUGGCGUUCCGUACGACCUCACUCGUAUCCCACUUCAGGUGGCUUUUGAUGAAUAA